GAAAUUGUGAGAUAAACUGAUUUUACACUCUCUGUGUCUGAAUUAAUAACAAAAUUUUCGUAAGAACAUGUACAAUUUGUUUCCUUGAAUGAGUUGAUUAAUCAUUUUGCAUAAUUUGAAUUUUAGCUUGUAAUGGCUUUAAAUGAUAUUCUGCAUAGAAAAUCAAAUGGUGCAUGUGGGUUACUAAUUUAUUUCUUCGUCUCCUGCAUCUUUAACAUUUAUGGGGUAGUAUCUCAUGUUACCUAAUUUUGCCAGGUUUCUCAGAAACACCAUGA
rnacentral:misc_RNA from 1 species